rnacentral:rRNA from 1 species
AGUUUGAUCAUGGCUCAGAACGAACGCUGGCGGCAUGCCUAACACAUGCAAGUCGAACGAGACCUUCGGGUCUAGUGGCGCACGGGUGCGUAACGCGUGGGAAUCUGCCCUUGGGUUCGGAAUAACAGUUAGAAAUGACUGCUAAUACCGGAUAAUGUCUUCGGACCAAAGAUUUAUCGCCCAGGGAUGAGCCCGCGUAGGAUUAGCUAGUUGGUGAGGUAAAGGCUCACCAAGGCGACGAUCCUUAGCUGGUCUGAGAGGAUGAUCAGCCACACUGGGACUGAGACACGGCCCAGACUCCUACGGGAGGCAGCAGUGGGGAAUAUUGGACAAUGGGCGAAAGCCUGAUCCAGCAAUGCCGCGUGAGUGAUGAAGGCCUUAGGGUUGUAAAGCUCUUUUACCCGGGAUGAUAAUGACAGUACCGGGAGAAUAAGCCCCGGCUAACUCCGUG